CAGCAAACGUGGUGAAAACAAUGUUGAUUCCUAAAGUAGUAACAGAAGUUGUAUUGCAGUUGUGCAGCUUUUGAUAUAUACAGCUCAAGGCUUUAUCUUAGGAUGUAAGCAAAUGAACCUCUGCCUUCCACGAGGAUGUAGUGCCUGUCCGUGUAACAGCAUCUUGAGGGAAUGGAGAGGAAGAGGAGAAGAGAAUGAGCAGUGGCCACACCAACUAUUGCUCCGUAUGACUGAGAACAGGGCCAGCAAAGUAAAACUCCCAGAUGUGGAACACUGUUGAGCACUGUGGGCCCAGGGUCCUGCCUAAGAUACAGAUCAGCCUGUUUUCUUCUUACCUUUGCAGCCUUCACAGGCCCCUUCUCCUAUUCGAAAGUUUGUGUGACAAUAAAAACGGGAGACCUGAGAGCCCACUACAGUCACACAAAAGAACUGGUUAAAGGAAGUCAUAUCUACUCCAGCUGGAGCUUCUCUACAUAACUGACCUGCUUGGCUUCAUCUGCAUUUAGAUGCCACUUGGUCUGUUGCGGAUGUUGCCAUUUUCAGCCCAUCAAUUCCUCUGGGCAUUAUCAUCCACAAUUUACUCCACCUCCAGUUCCUCGGUAAGUUACGGGCAUCACCUGGUGCACAUUCACAUCCUCUGUACUGAUGCCCAAACCUGUUCCAGGUCUGGCUAGGUUUCCUUUCUACUUUCCUACUGUGAGCAAGAACCUGUUUAUUCCAUCACAGAAAUACUAUAAAUACUACUUAUAAAAUUAAAACAUAAAAAUCGUAAGUUAUUUUUCAAAGAUGGCCUAGAAAUGGUUUUCAUGCUGUUUUGGAGAGCCUCAACAUGCUUUGUUCCUGCUAGAACAAAUCCAUGUUCUGUUUGACAAAAUACAGCCAUGUGGUUAAGAGUUAUUAAAAGCAUUAAAACAUUAACCUCUUGUACCCUCAUUUUUCACUUUGUACACAUACAUAAGUGUUUAAUCGAAUUGAAGUUAAACACUAAAAAGUUUGAGAGGCCAAAUUUAUACAUUCUCUUUAGUUUAUACAGAAUGGAUGUGAUAAGCCAAAGGAAUUACAAGACACCACUACUCAGAAAAAGCUCAUCCGUUGAUUUAAGCUCUCUUGCUCCGUACUAGAACAUCUGGUGACAAACAUUCCCAGCAUUUAAAUCAAGGAGCUUUGUCCUACUGGGAUCAGUCGGUGUCCUGGCGCCACACUAACUUAUUCUACUGUCCCAUGGAAGCUGAACAAAUGAUUCUGUGUCAAAAGAUCUGCUGGAGAGGGGAUGAGCUGCAUCCCAGAGUGAGAACACAAGACUUAGUGCUUUGUGGCCGUAGUAUAGUAGACUUAACUGAUUCUCAUUCUACAGUUUUAUUUCAAAGAGCCUGAAUCCCAGAAGGGAUUACACUGGUCCUGAACUGAAAAGUCUGAUAGAGCAGUGCUGACCCUUGUCUCCUUUGCUUGUCUCUACUUGGCAUGGAAGGCCAGGAUGUCAUCUCUAAAGCCAGGGAGAAGCGUUUAUUAAAUCAGGAGUAUAAAGGCAAGGGCCAGGCCAGAGAUUCAGACAUACAAUCCACGUGCAGCUUCUGCUGAGGUGUAAUGAUCCUUCACCAGGGCUUUUGAGCA